GUCGGUACGUGUACCGGUCUGACUGUACCGUAAGAAUAAGGAUCGGCUAACUCCGUGCCAGCAGCCGCGGUAAUACGGAGGAUCCGAGCGUUAUCCGGAAUUAUUGGGUUUAAAGGGUGCGUAGGCGGCGGGAUAAGUCAGGGGUGAAAUUCGGCAGCUCAACUGUCGCAGUGCCUUUGAUACUGUUUGGCUUGAAUUCGGUUGAAGAUGGCGGAAUGAGACAAGUAGCGGUGAAAUGCAUAGAUAUGUCUCAGAACCCCGAUUGCGAAGGCAGCUAUCUAAGCCGUUAUUGACGCUGAUGCACGAAAGCGUGGGUAGCAAACAGGAUUAGAUACCCUGGUAGUCCACGCCCUAAACGAUGAUAACUCGAUGUUGGCGAUAUACAGUCAGCGUCUUAGCGAAAGCGUUAAGUUAUCCACCUGGGGAGUACGCCGGCAACGGUGAAACUCAAAG
rnacentral:rRNA from 1 species